rnacentral:rRNA from 1 species
GACGAACGCUGGCGGCGUGCCUAAUACAUGCAAGUUGAGCGCUGAGGGUUGGUACCUGUACCAACUGGAUGAGCAGCGAACGGGUGAGUAACGCGUGGGGAAUCUGCCUUUGAGCGGGGGACAACUUUUGGAAACGAAUGCUAAUACCGCAUAAAAACUUUAAACACAAGUUUUAAGUUUGAAAGAUGCAAUUGCAUCACUCAAAGCUGAUCCCGCGUUGGAUUAGCUAGUUGGUGAGGUAAAGGCUCACCCAGGCGAUGAUACAUAGCCGACCUGAGAGGGUGGACGGCCACAAUGGGACUGAGACACAGCCCAAGCUUCCACGGGAAGGAACAGGAGGGGAACUUUGGGCAUUGAGGGAAGGCCUACCGGGGAACGCCGGGGGAGUGGAGAAGGUUUUCGGGUCGGAAAACUCCGUUGGUAGGGAAGAAAGAUGGUGGGAGUGGAAAGCGCAUCAAGUGACGGUAACUACCCAGAAAGAGACGGCUAACUACGUG